AUGUUUAUUGAGCAUUUAUUACGUGCUGGGUGCUCUAUAGAAAUCAUCUUACUUAAUGAACAGCCCUUGAGGUUGGCAAUUGAUGAGCCACAGACUUACCUUCCACUCUCUCUUUCUUCAGGCUGCAAGACCCCCGCCCUCCUCCACCCCAUGUCUUCACCAGUAACUUCUACUCUUCAGCACCCAGGUCGUCAGAAGGCUGGACUGCAGCUCCGCUGGAAGUGCCUUAUUUGUCCUUGUGUAGUUACAAACGUGAGUUGGAGACAACAAGAAAAUGAAGAGCUUGGGAAGAAGGAAGCAGGUCAUGUGAUAGUGGCCAAGGCAGAAAUUCCAGUGUGGUGAGGCGUAGGAAGAGGGGAAAUCAAGGAUGGACGUCCCCAACCCAUUUGGGAACCUCAUCUGCACAUCUUGAAUUGAGAGGGUUGGAGCAGAUGUCAGACAACUGGUGAGUCUAAAUACACCUGAUCUCAGGGCUUGGCCAAGAACCACGGGGUCAGGUUCUCCUCCGAGAGUCUCCCAUUGCAACCAGCCUCUGGAAGGUUUUAGGAAAUCUGAGCAUUUAAUUGAUCCAGGCAGAGGCCUCUCUGUUGCAUUGUGUGCUGCCAUGAUGGCAGUGGGUGGUAGUGAGGAACUGUCAAAAUGGCAGCAGACUUGGGACAGGCUCUGGUUUCCUGCAUCCUCCAGGAGAGGGAGCUGCCGAGCUUGGGAAGGCGUCUAUCCUCCUGGUGGGUGCAGCAUCAGUGACCUGUGGAUGCAAAGCAUCUUGCUAAAGGCUGUGAUAUUAUCAUUACUGUUGCUAUUGCUAUUGCUACUGCUAUUGCUACUAUUGCAAUUACGAUAAUAAUUACCACUAUUCAGAACAAUACGGCAAGGUCAAAUUCCGGCUGCGCCAACUCUCACAUUUGUAAUUUUUGUCAAAUCUCUUCCCUUUGGUUUUCUCAUCUGUAAAGUGAAAUAAUAGUGCCUGUUGUGUCUGUUGUACAAAGAUGAGGAGAGUUUGGAGAGAGAGAAAGAUUGAGAGAAAGAGAUUGAUUGAGAGGGAGGUUGAAAGCCUUUGAAAACCACAUGGUGCUAUAUAAUAUAAGGGGAUGUUUUUACAGUUUAAUUGAUUAUCUAGGUAAGAAACACUUGCAAUGUUUAAUGGCAAAAUGAGAAAUGUGUGCGUUAUAACCCCAAACUCCAAAUUUCUGCCCCAUGAUUUUCUGUUAGAGGAAACCAGUCAUGAAUCAAUUGCAGCCCGAUAUCAACCGAAAGACCAGUUAACUUAGCCAUUUAUCUGGAGUCUCCAAGUCCUAAAUCAAUGUUUUAUGAGAUUCUUAUGAAGCUAAGCGUGUGCACCUAAUUCUCAGCCUCAUGGCCAAGGCUUCACGGAGUUCCUAUCUAAGGUUAUGUGCCACUUCAAGGGGCGUUCCCAAAGGUUCGUCCAUUUGAACAAUGCUUUCUUUUCUUUCUGUUAAAAAACAAUCAAAGAUACUGUUCACUGUCAACAUACCUUAACUAAGGGUAUGGUAGAUUCCUGCAAAGUUGUCCUGGAAAAAGAAAUGUUCACCCUGCAGACAUAUUUGUAUGCUGUCUUCUCUCUGAAAGCAAGUGCUGUGGAGGACACGAUGUUUCCGCCUUCACUGUGGCUUCCAGGAAACCGUAAAUUCAACCCUCAGCAGCAGCAAUCCGUCGAUCUCAGGUUCCCAGUGACAACUGCUGUGCUCUUUUCCAGAUUUAUCCCUGAUUGUCUUUUUUUGGCAUCAUGUUAUGCUUAAAAACACCAGAUGUGUUUGGGAAUAGGGACCCAACCAGCCUGUGGGAGUUGCUGGAGGUCAUGUUUUAAACAGGUUGGGAUAUUUCAGUUAUUUAUUCAAAAUUUCAAUAAGACCCUUCAACUUAACAACUGUGUUCAACAAUGUCUAGCACAGUCCUUUAUUACCCUGCAGAAUCAGAGAUUCUAGAACAGAAAAGAACCUUCAAGAUCAUCUUUUAUAGCAUGUAAAAGGCAUCAGCCUCACAAUCAGACACGCCGGGUUUCGAAUGCUGGCUUUGCCAUAUCAUAGCCAGGUAACCUUAAGAAAAAUUCUAAAAUGGCUUGAACCUUAGUUUCCUCAUCUGUGAAACAGUCACAGUGACAUCUAAGUCACAGGGUUGUUUACAAUAGUGAUAAUUUGUGAAAGCACUGAGCGUGGUAGCUGGUGCACAGAAGCUGCACGAAAUGUGGUAGUUACUGUAUUUAACUAUGAGGGAAUAGAAGAGGCAAUGGGGGAAUUUGAAAAGAAUAUUAAAUAAAUUAUUGGAUUAAAAUGUAAAUACCCCA
rnacentral:lncRNA from 1 species